rnacentral:rRNA from 1 species
AGUGAACGCUGGCGGCGUGCUUAACACAUGCAAGUCGAGCGAGAAAGUCCUUCGGGAUGAGUACAGCGGCAGACGGGUGAGUAACACGUGAGUAACCUGCCCUCGGCACCGGGAUAGCCCGGGGAAACCCGGAUUAAUACCGGAUAGCCAUUCGAGCUCUCGAGCGCGAAUGAAAAGGUAGCUUUGGCCUCUGGCCGAGGAUGGGCUCGCGGCGGAUUAGCUUGUUGGCGGGGUAACGGCCCACCAAGGCGACGAUCCGUAGCUGGUCUGGGGGGACGAUGAGCCAAACGUGGACUGGGACACGGGCCAGGCUCCUACGGGAGGCAGCAGUGGGGAAUCUUGCGCUAAUGCGGGAAAGCGUGACGCAGCGACGCCGCGUGGGGGAAGAAGGCCUUCGGGUUGUAAACCUCUUUCAGGAGGGACGAAGCUACUCGGGUGAAUAGCCCAGAGGGUGACGGUACCUCCAGAAGAAGCCCCGGCUAACUACGUGCCAGCCGCCGCGGUAACAC